rnacentral:rRNA from 1 species
UACGUAGGGGGCAAGCGUUGUCCGGAAUCAUUGGGCGUAAAGAGCGUGUAGGCGGCUCGGUAAGUCCGCUCUGAAAGCCCGGGGGCUCAACCCCGGGAGGCGGGCGGAUACUGUCGGGCUAGAGUCCGGAAGAGGCGAGUGGAAUUCCUGGUGUAGCGGUGAAAAUGCGCAGAUAUCAGGAAGAACACCCGUGGCUAAGGCGGCUCUCUAGUACGGUACUGACGCUGAGACGCGAAAAGCGUGGGGAGC